rnacentral:rRNA from 1 species
CGCUGGGCGCGUGCUUACACAUGCGAGUCGAACGGUGAAGCUCAAGCUUGCUUGGGUGGAUCAGUGGCGAACGGGUGAGUAACACGUGAGCAACCUGCCCCGGACUCUGGAAUAAGCGCUGGAAACGGCGUCUAAUACUGGAUAUGACACCAAUCCGCAUGGGUAUGGUGUGGAAAGUUUUUCGGUCUGGGAUGGGCUCGCGGCCUAUCAGCUUGUUGGUGAGGUAAUGGCUCACCAAGGCGACGACGGGUAGCCGGCCUGAGAGGGCGACCGGCCACACUGGGACUGAGACACGGCCCAAACUCCUACGGGAGGCAGCAGUGGGGAAUAUUGCACAAUGGGCGAAAGCCUGAUGCAGCGACGCCGCGUGAGGGAUGACGGCCUUCGGGUUGUAAACCUCUUUCAGCAGGGAAGAAGCGAAAGUGACGGUACCUGCAGAAGAAGCACCGGCUAACUACGUGCCAGCAGCCGCGGUAAUACGUAGGGUGCGAGCGUUGUCCGGAAUUAUUGGGCGUAAAGAGCUUGUAGGCGGUUUGUCGCGUCUGCUGUGAAAAUCCGGGGCUCAACCCCGGACUUGCAGUGGGUACGGGCAGACUAGAGUGUGGUAGGGGAGACUGGAAUUCCUGGUGUAGCGGUGAAAUGCGCAGAUAUCAGGAGGAACACCGAUGGCGAAGGCAGGUCUCUGGGCCACUACUGACGCUGAGAAGCGAAAGCAUGGGGAGCGAACAGGAUUAGAUACCCUGGUAGUCCAUGCCGUAAACGUUGGGCGCUAGGUGUGGGACUCAUUCCACGAGUUCCGUGCCG